UACGUAGGGUCCGAGCGUUGUCCGGAAUCAUUGGGCGUAAAGAGCGUGUAGGCGGCCCGGUAAGUCCGCUGUGAAAGUCGGGGGCUCAACCCUCGGAUGCCGGUGGAAACUGUCGAGCUAGAGUCCGGAAGAGGCGAGUGGAAUUCCUGGUGUAGCGGUGAAAUGCGCAGAUAUCAGGAGGAACACCAAUGGCGAAGGCAGCUCGCUGGGACGGUACUGACGCUGAGACGCGAAAGCGUGGGGAGCAAACAGG
rnacentral:rRNA from 1 species